GCUUGGCAUGGUGGCGCAUGCUUGUAGUCCUAGCUACUCAGGAGGCUGAGGCAGGAGAAUCGCUUGAACCCAGGAAGCAGAGGUUGCAGUGAGCCGAGAUCAUGCCACUGCACUCCAGCUUGGGCGAUGGAGUGAGACUUUGUCUCAAAAAAAAAAAAAAGGCAAGAUUUGAAGCUGCAUAGUGUUAGCAAGUAGAAUGAGUGUUGAACACUCCUUAUUGUUACAAUUUUUUUUUUUUUUGAGACAAAGUCUCACUCCAUCGCCCAAGCUGGAGUGCAGUGGCAUGAUCUCGGCUCACUGCAACCUCUGCUUCCUGGGUUCAAGCGAUUCUCCUGCCUCAG
rnacentral:SRP_RNA from 1 species